GAUGAACGCUAGCUACAGGCUUAACACAUGCAAGUCGAGGGGCAUCAGGAAGAAAGCUUGCUUUCUUUGCUGGCGACCGGCGCACGGGUGAGUAACACGUAUCCAACCUGCCCUUUACUCGGGGAUAGCCUUUCGAAAGAAAGAUUAAUACCCGAUGGCAUAAUGAUUCCGCAUGGUUUCAUUAUUAAAGGAUUCCGGUAAAGGAUGGGGAUGCGUUCCAUUAGGUUGUUGGUGAGGUAACGGCUCACCAAGCCUUCGAUGGAUAGGGGUUCUGAGAGGAAGGUCCCCCACAUUGGAACUGAGACACGGUCCAAACUCCUACGGGAGGCAGCAGUGAGGAAUAUUGGUCAAUGGGCGCUAGCCUGAACCAGCCAAGUAGCGUGAAGGAUGAAGGCUCUAUGGGUCGUAAACUUCUUUUAUAUAAGAAUAAAGUGCAGUAUGUAUACUGUUUUGUAUGUAUUAUAUGAAUAAGGAUCGGCUAACUCCGUGCCAGCAGCCGCGGUAAUACGGAGGAUCCGAGCGUUAUCCGGAUUUAUUGGGUUUAAAGGGAGCGUAGGUGGACUGGUAAGUCAGUUGUGAAAGUUUGCGGCUCAACCGUAAAAUUGCAGUUGAUACUGUCAGUCUUGAGUACAGUAGAGGUGGGCGGAAUUCGUGGUGUAGCGGUGAAAUGCUUAGAUAUCACGAAGAACUCCGAUUGCGAAGGCAGCUCACUGGACUACAACUGACACUGAUGUUCGAAAGUGUGGGUAUCAAACAGGAUUAGAUACCCUGGUAGUCCACACAGUAAACGAUGAAUACUCGCUGUUUGCGAUAUACAGUAAGCGGCCAAGCGAAAGCAUUAAGUAUUCCACCUGGGGAGUACGCCGGCAACGGUGAAACUCAAAGGAAUUGACGGGGGCCCGCACAAGCGGAGGAACAUGUGGUUUAAUUCGAUGAUACGCGAGGAACCUUACCCGGGCUUAAAUUGCAGUGGAAUGAUGUGGAAACAUGUCAGUGAGCAAUCACCGCUGUGAAGGUGCUGCAUGGUUGUCGUCAGCUCGUGCCGUGAGGUGUCGGCUUAAGUGCCAUAACGAGCGCAACCCUUAUCUUUAGUUACUAACAGGUUAUGCUGAGGACUCUAGAGAGACUGCCGUCGUAAGAUGUGAGGAAGGUGGGGAUGACGUCAAAUCAGCACGGCCCUUACGUCCGGGGCUACACACGUGUUACAAUGGGGGGUACAGAAGGCAGCUAGCGGGUGACCGUAUGCUAAUCCCAAAAGCCUCUCUCAGUUCGGAUCGAAGUCUGCAACCCGACUUCGUGAAGCUGGAUUCGCUAGUAAUCGCGCAUCAGCCACGGCGCGGUGAAUACGUUCCCGGGCCUUGUACACACCGCCCGUCAAGCCAUGGGAGCCGGGGGUACCUGAAGUACGUAACCGCAAGGAUCGUCCUAGGGUAAAACUGGUGACUGGG
rnacentral:rRNA from 1 species